CCUACGGGAGGCAGCAGUGGGGAAUUUUGGACAAUGGGCGCAAGCCUGAUCCAGCCAUGCCGCGUGCGGGAAGAAGGCCUUCGGGUUGUAAACCGCUUUUGUCAGGGAAGAAAUCCCUUGAGCUAAUACCUCGGGGGGAUGACGGUACCUGAAGAAUAAGCACCGGCUAACUACGUGCCAGCAGCCGCGGUAAUACGUAGGGUGCAAGCGUUAAUCGGAAUUACUGGGCGUAAAGCGUGCGCAGGCGGUUAUGUAAGACAGGUGUGAAAUCCCCGGGCUUAACCUGGGAACUGCACUUGUGACUGCAUAGCUUGAGUGCGGCAGAGGGGGAUGGAAUUCCGCGUGUAGCAGUGAAAUGCGUAGAUAUGCGGAGGAACACCGAUGGCGAAGGCAAUCCCCUGGGCCUGCACUGACGCUCAUGCACGAAAGCGUGGGGAGCAAACAGGAUUAGAUACCCUGGUAGUCCACGCCCUAAACGAUGUCAACUGGUUGUUGGACGGCUUGCUGUUCAGUAACGUAGCUAACGCGUGAAGUUGACCGCCUGGGGAGUACGGCCGCAAGGUUGAAACUCAAAGGAUUGACGG
rnacentral:rRNA from 1 species